UACAGAGGUCCCAAGCGUUGUUCGGAUUCACUGGGCGUAAAGGGCGCGUAGGCGGCUUGAUGUGUCAAAGGUGAAAUCCCUCGGCUCAACUGAGGAACUGCCUUUGAAACUGUCUGGCUUGAGGCCGGGAGAGGGUAGCGGAAUUCCCAGUGUAGCGGUGAAAUGCGUAGAUACUGGGAGGAACACCGGUGGCGAAGGCGGCUACCUGGACCGGAACUGACGCUGAGGCGCGAAAGCGUGGGUAGCAAACAGG
rnacentral:rRNA from 1 species